UUUUAAAAUGGAAAGUCCUCUAAAAUCGACGAAAAAAAUUAUAAACUACCAACUAUAGAUAAGAGCAAAGCAAUAAUCAAAACACUAUACAGUUAUAAGUCUUCUUUCAUGACAUAAAUAUAUCCAACCAAAUCAACAAAGUGUGAAACUCAACAUAACUGGUUAAAUAAAACAAACUUUACCAAAGAAAAAUGAAAAUGAAAAUAACAUUGGCUGAAGUUUGAACCCCUACAGCCAGAUCUUAGAAAAAAUAACGAAGUAAAAGAGGGAUUGUUUGUAUACCGAAGCUAGAGAGAGAUCGAUGUUUUGGAGCUUUGGCUCACUGGUGAUGAUCUGAUUCGGGAUGGUCGACGUUCUGAUUUUAAUGGAAUUAGAGUUGGGAUCUGAUUUGACUUGCGAGCUCACCGGGAUUUGCAACUUGGUGGAGCUGUUCAGACUCGCUAGUUACAGUAAUGGAGUUGCCGACUUCUAAUUCAUCAAGUUCAUCCCCAUUUUGGAAUUGAUAAUGUCACUUAUGACUAGAACUUUUGUGGGGGUUGUUUGGAUAUUGUUGUUGAUCGAUUUAAGUUGGGUUUAGGGUCUGGUCGGAGAUGGACAAUAGAAGAGGGAACAAUAAUAGUCAAAUUCUGAGUUCUGAUUGGUUUGUUAUGAUCUCAAUCAUCAAGUGUUGUGUGUCAAGAUUCGAACUAGGGACAAAGUAUAAGUCAUUAACACUAAAAUUAAAAAAUUGAAGGACCGAGAUUCAAUUAAUUCAAAUCAAGCUGAAGGGACGAGAUCGUGCCAUAUGGACAGAUGGUUAUAUAUACACAUCACACAGGACAGAGAAGGCUAACAAAAAUCUGGGAACAAAAGGUAAUCUCCGCUAUUUAGUAGAUGGAUUUAACCAAGCUAUUGGGACUUGAUUAUGAGGUUCAAUAUAAGAAAGGUGCUGAAAAUAGAGAUGUUGACACGUUGUAUAGGCAACAAGAAGGGUUAGAUUCCUUAGAUGAUCAUGCUAUUGGGAAUUUAAUGGCUAUAAGAAGUUGCACUCCAACUUGGGUACAAGAGAUUAUUAUGCGCUAUGCAGAGGAUUCUUAUGUCCGAGACAUUCUUAUACUACUUGCAGUAGAUUCUCAUGGACCCAAUUUAUCGCACUACUCAUCUGGUAUACGAAGAAACAAGGGCAAGGUAUAUCUAGGAUCUCAUGGAACUCUCAAACAACAACUCAUUUCUUCUUACCGCGACACUCUCCUUGGUGGUCAUUCUGGUCAGUUAGAGACAUUGAAAAGGUUGUCGCAACUCUUUUAUUGACCAAAGGUGAAGCUUAUGGUUAAUGAUUAUGUGUCCAACUGUGAUUUAUGCCAUAGGAAUAAAGACGAUAAUGCAGCUUAUCCGAGAUUUUUGCAACUCUUACCUGUUCCUAAUCAAGCAUGGUGCCAUAUCAAUACGGACUUUGUGGAAGGUCUUUCAAAGUCUAAAUCUAAAGAUGUCAUAUUAGUGAUGGUUGAUAGAUUUACUAAGUAUGCCACUUUAUAGCUCUAUCGCACCCCAUACUGCCGCCACUAUUGCUUUCAUCUUUUGGAAGAAGAUACAUAGCCUACAUGGCACUCCGAAGUCUAUUGUGACUGAUAGAGACAAGGUGCUUCUCAACAACUUUUGACGAGCUUUAUUUAGCUUAUUGAGCACUCAAAUCAAUUAUAACUCUGCCUUUCACUCUCAAAGUGAUGGACAAACAGAAAGGGUUAAUUGGUGCUUGGAAAACUACUUAAGAUGCAUGGUGGCAAGUAAGCCUAACCAGUGGAGACUAGGGAUGGACAUAAACACCUAAAAACUGAAAAAAACUGAAAUAUCAAAUUGAAUCGAAUUGUUUUGAUAUUUUAUUUUUGUAUUCGGUAUAUGUUUUUGUAUUUUUUGAUAUUU